rnacentral:rRNA from 1 species
AAGGAAUAUUGGACAAUGGCCGCAAGGCUGAUCCAGCCAUGCCGCGUGCAGGAAGACGGACCUAUGGUUUGUAAACUGCUUUUGAACUAGAGAAAACCCCUUUACGUGUAAAGGGCUGAUAGUAUAGUUAGAAUAAGCAUCGGCUAACUUCGUGCCAGCAGCCGCGGUAAGACGAAGGAUGCAAGCGUUAUCCGGAUUCAUUGGGUUUAAAGGGAGCGUAGGCGGACUUGUAAGUCAGUGGUGAAAUCUUUGGGCUUAACCCAGAAACUGCCAUUGAUACUGCAAGUCUAGAGUACAGUUGCCGUUGGCGGAAUAUGACAUGUAGUGGUGAAAUACUUAGAUAUGUCAUAGAACACCGAUUGCGAAGGCAGCUAACGAAGCUGUAACUGACGCUGAGGCUCGAAAGUGCGGGGAUCAAAC